rnacentral:rRNA from 1 species
UACGGAGGGAGCUAGCGUUGUUCGGAAUUACUGGGCGUAAAGCGCGCGUAGGCGGCUUUGUAAGUUAGAGGUGAAAGCCCGGGGCUCAACCCCGGAACUGCCUUUAAAACUGCAUCGCUUGAAUCCGGGAGAGGUGAGUGGAAUUCCGAGUGUAGAGGUGAAAUUCGUAGAUAUUCGGAAGAACACCAGUGGCGAAGGCGGCUCACUGGACCGGUAUUGACGCUGAGACGCGAAAGCGUGGGGAGCGAACAGG